rnacentral:rRNA from 1 species
UUGCACCAGAAGUAGAUAGCUUAACCUUCGGGAGGGCGUUUACCACGGUGUGAUUCAUGACUGGGGUGAAGUCGUAACAAGGUAACCCUAGGGGAACCUGGGGUUGGAUCACCUCCUUACCUUAA